AUCCAGAGUUGGUGCUUGUUGUAGCGCCUCAGCUUCAGCACAGAGCCUGGGCCUCCUCCCUCUGAGCUCCCUUAGGAAGGACCCGCUAACAUUCUCUCCCUCUUUACCAGGCCUCCUGCUUCCCAGCGGCCUCAAGUUCUGGCGACUUAUUCAUUAUUCAUCUCUUUUCAUCCUCGUGCUUGGGAGCAGGGCUUCCCUGCCCUGGGUUUAGUCCCAUCUCUGGGCCGCUUGAACAAUGGCAGCAGCCUCGGAGGUGAGCGGUGAGCACACAGGAGACAAAACCGGGCUGGAUGUCUAAAGCUGGUGCUAGAAUCCCCAAUGGUGCCCAGAGAGCUACUGGUCCUUGGUCAGCAAUGGAGGUCUGAAAAGACUGGUUCUGAUGUCAACAAAAGAAUGAACAGCAGCAGCAGCAGCAGCAACAGCAACAGCAACAACAACAACAACAACAACAACAUAAUGUCUCAGCAAAAGGGAAGGCCAAAAAGGCAAAAUACAAUUGUCUUCUGCUAUGCCCUUAAAAUAAAAAUCUAGGCUGCUAUGGGGAGCUGCUACCCACGAUUGGGCGGGUCUUCCUGCAUCAGUUAAGACACAGUUCUUUAAUUGUGGCUCCUUACUCCAGUAAUUCCAAAUUGUGCCAAGUUGACAUCAAAACCAACCAUCCGACUGGGUCUUACUUAAAGACUUUGCUCUGCUUUUCUGACCAGAAUGAAACAUACUGAUUGCCCAUUUGAUGCAAAGGCCACUGUGGUUUUGUAGGGACAAGACCGUGCCUGUCGGUAUUUCUCUGACUUGUGACUCAGGAGAACAUUCUAGCUGAAACUCAUGCUCUGAUCAUUUGAAAACUCCACGUCUGCUUUUCCACAGCUCUGAGCAUGGGCUCAGCCAGAAUCUUUUGCCAGAUCCUGAAUAGGCAUUUUCUCUUUGCCUUUUGCCGAAUAAACUUAAAUGUAAAAGGGCGGGUGAUGUGAGAAAGUGAUCAGAGACUGAAGAGGAAACAGAGAGGAGACCGGAAUACACAGGUACAUCAAAGGUGGCGCUGAAACGCCACCAUAGACAUGAGGCUUGGUUUCCAAGACUAGGAAUAAUCUUUUAUAUUGCCAGAGCUUUUGUCCCCACUGGCAAGAACACACUCAGGACAACCGGAAUCUUCUGCGGCCAAGCUUUAUUGCUUACUUCUUAGGAGGAAGACCCCGAACCCAGAAAAUGGCGCUGCUUAUAUAGCCCGCAGCGUGACGUUUCAGCACCUGAUGUGUCGUGACAGCUCCUGAUUCGUUGCUCGUCUAUCACCCCAUUACUACGCCCCGAGAUGGGCAGUGACUAGGCAUGAAUUCACUCUUGCACUUGCACAUAAGGCUUGUUUACUAGUUAGGCGCAGUGGAAGCCAGCGCCAUCUUAUAAUGGCGAUUGCUCACUGCACGGCUCUCCACACUUUUACUUGAAACCAGUACCCAAGAAACAAUGGUGACUUUUUCCUCUCUCUUCCUCCCCUUCCCCCACCUCCAUCCCCUUUCUUUCUUUUACUAUUAAAUAGGUCUGAUGUCAUUUUCAGUGGCCUUGUGUCAGUGGGCAAGAGACACACUGCAGGACCAGGUGCAGUCACAGGCAGUGUACCAAAGAGCCAGAGGACAGGGGAUGGGGCCCUUAACUAGUUGUCUGAGCACUCAUCCAGUGGAGGAGGAGCCCUAAGAUGACUUAAGGACACACCGCCAGCUUGCCGCCGUCCCGUGUUCUGCUUUCCUCUGUGCCUUCAUUUUUUUUUUUUUUAAAGAUUUAUUUAUUUAUUUAUUAUAUGUAAGUACACUGUAGCUGUCUUCAGACACACCAGAAGAGGGCAUCAGAUCUCAUUACGGAUGGUUGUGAGCCACCAUGUGGUUGCUGGGAUUUGAACUUCCGACCUUCGGAAGAGCAGUCGGGUGCUCUAACCCACUGAGCCAUCUCACCAGCCCUGUGCCUUCAUUUCUUUUCUCUUCCUUCUUUUAUGCCUUCUCUUUCCAACAGUGGAUUGUUCAUAAUAGAAAUAUUAACUGUGUGUGCAUUCAUUGAGAAAGUUCUAGAUGGCCGUUUUCCUUGCUCCCCCACACACAGAGCAUUGUUUUAGCAACAGUUGUCUCUAAGUGAGAAAGCCAUGCAUGAGUUUGCUUUCCUUCAUUGAUAUCUAAAUUUGCAUAUUUAAAGUGAAUACAUGAUUCAUAUGUAUAAAUUAUAUUCAUUUCUAAAAACAUAUAUAUGUCAUAUAUAAUAUGUUAUAUAACAUAUAUACUAUAUGUUUCUUUUUAGAAAUGAAUAUAAAGGUUUGGAUCCCAGUCAUCUCACAAGUAAAGGCACAAGUGGGAUGUGGAAAGGCACAAGCAGGUACAUCGAGGCCUUAGAGAUGGGAACUUGUUACUGAGGUCUCUCAGGCUUAGGGCAUCGGCAUAAACACAGUGGGCUUUUCUAUGUGUUUCUGGAAUGGAUAAAGACAAAUCUUUAUGGCGAAGGGAAGGCACGUCUGGAGGAGACAACUCUUCCUUUUUCCAAGUGAUCUCUAUUAAAAUUCAUUCCACUUGACAUUAAGUAAAAUGUUAGUAGAUUAUAACUAAAAAGAUAUGACUUAGACAGGAUCUAAUAUAACUCUUAAUUUUAAGCUCCAAGAAUCUUUUAUUAGAAAUAAUGUUAAGCACAAAGGUCUGGAAAUGGUUGUCUCCAUGAACAAUAAAUAAAUCUGACUU
rnacentral:lncRNA from 1 species